rnacentral:rRNA from 1 species
GACGAACGCUGGCGGCAGGCCUAACACAUGCAAGUCGAGAGGAGCGGCGGACGGGUGAGUAAUGCCUAGGAAUCUGCCUGGUAGUGGGGGAGAACGUCCGGAAACGGGCGCGAAUACCGCAUACUAUCAGAAGAGCCUAGGUCGGAUGAGCUAGUUGGUGGGGUAAAGGCCUACCAAGGCGACGUUCCGUAACUGGUCUGAGAGGAUGAUCAGUCACACUGGAACUGAGACACGGGCCAGACUCCUACGGGAGGCAGCAGGGGGGAAUAUUGGACAAUGGGCGAAAGCCUGAUCCAGCCAUGCCGCGUGUGUGAAGAAGGUCGUCGGAUUGUAAAGCACUUUAAGUUGGGAGGCGUUACCAACAGAAUAAGCACCGGCUAACUUCGUGCCAGCAGCCGCGUAAUUC